GGAUCAAAAUAGGAUGGAUGAAAUAGAGAAUUUUGAUGUGCUAUGCGAUCGUAGGAUCCCUAACGAAGUAAAGGGUAAGUUUUAUAAAAUUGUGGUUAGGCUAGCUAUGCUAUAUAGAAGUAAAUGUUAGGCAUUUAAGGUAAAACGUACUCCCAAGAUGAGCAUGGCAGAAAUGUGGAUGUUAGGAUGGAUGUUCAGUAACAUGAUAAUGGAUAAGAUUAGUGAUGACUAUAUUUGCCAGAGACAGAGAGUGCAUGUAGCAU
rnacentral:misc_RNA from 1 species